rnacentral:ncRNA from 1 species
AUUCUUGGAUUUAUGAAAGACGAACAACUGCGAAAGCAUUUGCCAAGGAUGUUUUCAUUAAUCAAGAACGAAAGUUGGGGGCUCGAAGACGAUCAGAUACCGUCCUAGUCUCAACCAUAAACGAUGCCGACCAGGGAUUGGCGGAUGUUGCUUUAAGGACUCCGCCAGCACCUUAUGAGAAAUCAAAGUCUUUGGGUUCCGGGGGGAGUAUGGUCGCAAGGCUGAAACUUAAGGAAUUGACGGAAGGGCACCACCAGGAGUGGAG